UGGUCCAAUGCUUUUGUAGAACCCAUGUUGUUGAUUUAGACCUCUAGGAACUUUGAUGCCCAAUAAGUUCGAAACAUUCAUUUUACUAAUUUGAGGUGUCCAUAUGGCCCAAUAUAACAGCACCUCAUGUAGAACACUCACUGAGAUCUCAUAGACAAACUAAAGCUGAAUGAGGCUGAUACAUUUGAAACCAUUUGCGACAACAGAAUGCACCACUCCUGGUCAAAUUUGAUUUACUCAGGAUAAAUAUACAUGUAUUUUGCACGCUCCUUGGUCACAUGUCCCUUGGAGAUUGGUUCAAUCAUUGUAUAGCCCGCAAAACCCAGAAUCGGGGCAACUUUUGCAGCAACUCAUCGUCAUUUUAUUAGUCUCUAUCCUUGAGUAGUCAGAGGAGACAAGCACAUUAACCAUCCUAAGCUAUACAGAUAGCCUUAAAUCCUAAGGCAAGUUAUUUUCUUUCUGUAACUCAAACCUAUAUAUUUUGUACAACUAAAUGUCUAUAGCAGUUGUGGGAAAACCAUAAUCUUUGAGAGGUUAUCGGUAGCCUCAUUAGGGACGAGAUUGGUUUGGUAGGAGGAAUUUUAUGGACCUGUAUUGAAUUCUGUCACGGGACCCUAUGAAGCAGAGGUUGCAGUUUGUAAGUCACAGCUUUUUAAUAAUUUAAGAGGAAAGGCCAAGAAUUCAUGGGCACUGGUCCUAACCUCAAAUACCAUGCCAGUGAUGCUGAUAUCCAGGUUUUCGGCGUGGAUCCUAUCACGAAGAUGGAAAAUAUGCGCGCGCAGGAAUCAGCAGUGGCUGCUGGUCUACCGCUUUCAAACUUUGAAUCUAUACAAGCAGUGUGCAUGUUUCUCCCAUGACACUAUCAAUUCCACACUAAAUUUUUGUAUAUUGGACAUAAUUUACCACACAA